CCUACGGAGGCAGCAGUAGGGAAUCUUCCACAAUGGGCGAAAGCCUGAUGGAGCAACGCCGCGUGAGUGAUGAAGGCCUUCGGGUUGUAAAACUCUGUCAUUCGGGACGAACCGGAGUCUGAGGAAAUGCAGACUCUCUGACGGUACCGGAGGAGGAAGCCCCGGCUAACUACGUGCCAGCAGCCGCGGUAAUACGUAGGGGGCAAGCGUUGUCCGGAUUCACUGGGCGUAAAGCGCGCGCAGGCGGUGAUGUAAGUCUGAGGUGAAAACCCCGAAGCUCAACUUCGGGACUGCCUUGGAUACUGCGUCACUUGAGGAUAGGAGAGGCAAGGGGAAUUCCACGUGUAGCGGUGAAAUGCGUAGAGAUGUGGAGGAACACCUGUGGCGAAGGCGCCUUGCUGGCCUAUUUCUGACGCUGAGGCGCGAAAGCGUGGGGAGCAAACAGGAUUAGAUACCCUGGUAGUCCACGCUGUAAACCGAUGAGUGNUAGUGUAGGUGGUCGUCAUACCACUCUGUGCCGACGACGUAACG
rnacentral:rRNA from 1 species